AUUGAACGCUGGCGGCAUGCCUUACACAUGCAAGUCGAACGGUAACGCGGGGCAACCUGGCGACGAGUGGCGAACGGGUGAGUAAUGUAUCGGAACGUGCCCAGUUGUGGGGGAUAACUGCACGAAAGAGCAGCUAAUACCGCAUACGACCUGAGGGUGAAAGCGGGGGAUCGCAAGACCUCGCGCAAUUGGAGCGGCCGAUAUCAGAUAAGGUAGUUGGUGGGGUAAAGGCACACCAAGCCAACGAUCUGUAGCUGGUCUGAGAGGACGACCAGCCACACUGGGACUGAGACACGGCCCAGACUCCUACGGGAGGCAGCAGUGGGGAAUUUUGGACAAUGGACGCAAGUCUGAUCCAGCCAUGCCGCGUGCGGGAAGAAGGCCUUCGGGUUGUAAACCGCUUUUGUCAGGGAAGAAACGCUCUGGGUUAAUACCUCGGGGUAAUGACGGUACCUGAAGAAUAAGCACCGGCUAACUACGUGCCAGCCGCCGCGGUAAUAC
rnacentral:rRNA from 1 species